UACGUAGGGUGCAAGCGUUAAUCGGAAUUACUGGGCGUAAAGCGUGCGCAGGCGGUUAUGCAAGACAGAUGGGAAAUCCCCGGGCUCAACCUGGGAACUGCAUUUGUGACUGCACCGCUGGAGUACGGCAGAGGGGGAUGGAAUUCCGCGUGUAGCAGUGAAAUGCGUAGAUAUGCGGAGGAACACCGAUGGCGAAGGCAAUCCCCUGGGCCUGUACUGACGCUCAUGCACGAAAGCGUGGGGAGCAAACAGG
rnacentral:rRNA from 1 species